rnacentral:lncRNA from 1 species
GCUUGAAAGUGAUUUCUUUCCCACCUGGUUCUUCGGGAGGGAAUGGAGGGAGACUCUGAUUUAGAUCAGAACACAAUUGCGCAUACAUGGGACAGAAGGUAGGCUCAAAAACAGCUUUUUCAAAUAUAAGUUUAGUGACAUCCUGCAUCAUUAGUCUGUUUUAACAACUAAAAUUUUGGGAGGGGCAGCAACUGUGCAUAAAUUCUGGGAAACAUGAAAACUAAAAAGCAACUAAGCAUAAAUUUUGGGAAGCAUGAAAACCUUUAGAAUAUCGGGUGUUGUGAUUCCAGAAUCAAUCAGUUGUCCCUUGAGAACAUCAAGUUUCUCUGGAGUCAGCUUAUUCAAUAUACUGCAUUAAAAUAAAUAACAGAAAAUUAAAAAGAAGUCCAAUUCAUAUGAUCUUGCUUCCACCAAUCCGAUAGAACAAAAAAUUGCACAAAAAAGGAGGGAAUAGACAUGUCUUAUCAACAGAUUCGGGGAAGAAUAAGUUGCGGAAAACCAAAUGUAACAACUUAUAGAAGUUAGAUUUAGAGUCAUAUAUAAAUCCACCUUCGAAACUAAAAGGUUAAAAAUAUAUUUUAAAAAAAACAUGAUUAACAUAUGCCAGCAGGCUAAACUAAACAAGCAUGUCAAUUACCCCUUUACUGUCUUUAGAACCCGUUCUUUCUCUGUAAGAUUGCCUCUUCGAGCAGACCAUGGCAUUUCAGCCUUGACCAGAGCGAGUGUAGGUCCCACCUAAAUAAAUUGCAUGUUACAAAUGUCAAAACAAAAAAGAGAUCCAUAUAGACAUUAACAAACAGAUCGGACUGCAUAAGUACAUAAAGACUAUAAACGAGCAUGUUCCACGUUAAACAUGAAUGAUCAUUUUGAAGGUGGUGAAAGAUGGUGCAACAUUUUAAGCAAUCAAAAGAAAGAUUAACAAUAAUGACAAUCCAUGGCACAGGCAUUUACACAUGAAUUAAGCUGUGAGUUCCUUUUUAACGAAUUCCUAUCAGGGCCCAAGAAUGAGAAUACAGGUCAAAGUUAGAACUAUUACAGCCAAUAUUGCUAAAACAAAAUUUUGAAAGUAUAACAAAAAUAGAUCAUAUUCCGCAUCUUUAAUAGUCUAUAGGUGGAGCAAAGGAUGCAGUUCAAUUGAAGGCACAAAGGGUUUCCUGAACAAAUUAUUUAUUCUGCUUAAGAAAGAUGGUUAGAUAGGAAAGUGGUUGAGUUUAAAGAGAGUGAACACAAUUAAGAUGUCUUAUUUAAUAUUAAAAAGAAGAAUACAACUGAGUAGCUAAUAUUAUAAACAAGAAGGAUAAGCAGUAUUACCUAGGUCAGAAAGAGGAAUCGAGAUGUCAACAGAAUAAAAAAAGAAUUUACAAGGAAUCAAGAAGAAACAUCCCAGUUUGAAGGAUGUAAUCCUAAUAAAAAUUGGGGUAAACCAGAAUCCCCCAGCUAACCUCAUUGAUGCCAUAAGAGGCAUUAGUUAUUUUAUAUGCCUACAUUUACUGAAUGCAAAAGUAAUAUCUGGGCAUUAUUUUCAUGAAAUUAUCCAACAAACGAUUAAGGGAGUCAAAAGAUGUUCUUUUCCCUUAAGAAAAAGGAAAAGCAAGAACAUGCAUGCUAGUUAGUAUUAAAUUUUUUAAAUAAAUAUAUGCAAACUGUCCAGCUCUGUGGAGGAUUGUCAUAGUGUAAUUUCAUGCUCACAUGGUUAACUUAUAGAGUGCAUUAUAUCCCCACAAGUUCCUUGACAAGAUUGACUCCUGCAGUGGAUAGAAGAUCCAUGGUCAAACUGUUUAAUAAUCCAAGUUAAUUGAGAAAGAAAAGAAAGAAACCAUUUUUGCAGGUCUAACAGUUUAUCCAAUUCCAAAUAGCAAUUAGGCUGCAAAGACAAACCCAUAUGACUAUCAAAGAGUUCUUGUAGUUUUUCUUCACAAAGAAAAAAUUUCAGACCACAACAUCAUUGAAACCUCCAUUGUUGUGCCCCCAUAGGAAGUUGCCUAUAUCAAUGUGCUUAUGUUGAAUGAGGUCUAUUUUAGAAAAUUAGUAAUUCUAUGUUUAGAUUGAAUUAGAUGUGAAGUUCCGUUUUGGAUUGCAAGUAUGAAAGCAAACCAGAAGGGGAUUGCAUAUUCCUCUUGCUUUCCAUGCCUAGCUUUCUCAUUCAAGCUUUUUUAUGCAACCCAGCCCCAUGCCAGGACCAGGCUAGCUUUUUUUAAGGCAUCGGCGUUGCCCCCAUGCUUCCAUGAUCAUCAAAUGCAGAAAGUUAGGAAUUUGAGGUAAAUAUGAAGAACACAUGCAAACCCACAGGAAGAACAGUAGCCUUUUCAGUCUUUCACAAGUUUUCAUGUUUCUUAGGACUUCCCUCAUUUCAGGAAAUAUGGUACAGAAACCAAAUGAUAGCAAGUAUCAGUGUCAUAAUAUUCUUGGAUUUCACUUAAAUUGAUUUUCAAGUAGUCCAAGGAACCAACUUAUGAUUAUUUUUGCCCAAAUUUAUGAGUCCAUAGUGAUAUCUACAUAAAAACAUAUAAAAUAUUUUUUAUGUUAAUGAAGCUUUAAACUUUUUGCUUGAUUGAAAUUCCUUUAUGAGUCAAAGUCUGUUAAUUCCUAUGGCCAUAACAUGUAGGUUAGCAGUUGUUUCAAGAUUAGAAAACAUUGUUUCCGAGCUGUUUUAGUUAAUAAGGGGUUUACAUAAAGUUACUAAUUUCAAAAAAUUUCUUUUUUAGUUGAGAUAGAGAUCAAGUGGAUAGGUGUGGUACAGUUUUUUGCUCUCCCCUUCUCCCUUCCUCUAGUUUUUUCUUCUUAUUUUUCUUUCUUUUCUUCUCUGGCUUGCUUGUUGUUGUGCCAUAAAUUAGUUCUCAACCUAUUUCUUGAUUUGGUUUCUGACUCCAGAAUGUUCUAUUAUUCUACAAGUAGUCCUAGACAUCACCAAAAGGCCUAUAAAUUCCAUACUUGACGGAACCUUAACCACUUUAUUCAUCCACUUUGACCCACCUAAACCCCUCAACUCCAAGCAUUCUCAAGAAACUUAUGCGACACCAGAACCUUUAUACCCACAAUCUGAUCAUGAAGUCUCUUGAAAACCUUGCAAGCAUACUCUCUUGCAUCCUAGCCCUAGAUUCUAGUGUCAACCUUUAUUUAUGCUUAUGACCAAAGUCCAAAAUAUACUUCCUCCUUACCCCAUUAAACUUGGAUCUGUCCAGAUAUAUUAUCCUCCUUGCAGCAGAAACCAAACCAUUAAACCCUUCUAAAAAUCAUAGAUUCCAUGCCAUUGCAAAUAUGCAUCUCUGACCCCAUAGAGUCCCACAUCAAAAGCAAAUCAUAUUAUGCUCAAAUUAGCUUUUGAUCAAAUAGCUAGUUGGAUGUGUAUUGAAACUCAUCACAACUAAAGCAGGCAUCACAUGCAAAGAAGAUUAAAAGAGUGCUGUAGAUUGUACAAGAGUCAGGAGAGAUGAUGGAGAGACUUAAAUUGACAUAAAUGGACGUUGUGAGGAAGAAAAAAAUUGCAAGUCACAAAGACCAGAUAUGAAAUAACUAAAACCAAGGACAAUUGACGGUUACAACCUUCACAUAUGCAGGAAAGAAUGGCACUAAAAAUGAAGUAAGAAUAUCAGCAAGCAAAGAUAUGAAAGACAAUUAAUGCAGUUACAGAAUUUCACCUUUAGUGGGUCCAGAGGAACAAAUUAACAUACAAGCAUGAAAGGUGUGGAGCUCAAGGAAGUCAGAACCAUGCUAAAAAGGUUCUGAAUACUGGACUUGACUUUAAGAGAAAAAUAAAUGCAAUGUCAACAAACUACCCUGAAAGAAUUGGAUAACACAUGUUUCUCAAUGCCGAAAAAAGCAUUUAAAGUCCAUGAAGGUGGCAGCAGAGGCGGCACAGCUUUUGUUAUUCCGGGCCCUGAUUCUACCUUUGUGAUAGCAGGAGGAUGCCACAUUAUGGACUCCACAGCUCCUGAGAGAGAGCUGAGGGCAGCUUGGACUGGACUUACCUAUGCGAGGCGGGUUCUUAGAGCUGAUUGAUUGGUUUUGGAGGCAGACUCCUCUACAGUUAUUAGGUGGAUCUAGAGCCGAGCAGAGUCAAUGAUUGCCCACCCUCUUCUGUGUGAGAUUUAGAAGGGCGAUCAGGGAAUGCACCUCCCUUGCAAACUGGGUAGCUUCUUAUGUUGCAGGUCAUUCAGGAAAGGUCUUGUGAACAAAGCUCAAGAUGGUUCCAUGUGGUUUGUGGGAUAUUUUAUUUUCUAAUCUUUUUGGAUGUAUUCAUAGAUGGUGGGUAUGAUCUAUCCGCCUUAUCAAAAUAAUAAUAAUAAUUCCACUGUUUGAAUGGUAUUGUUCAUAGGAUAAACAAGGACAUCCAAUUGUAUGAGGCUCCCACUACUAUAGGGUCUGGGAAGGGUCAGACGUACACAGCCUUAUCCCCUUAUGUGGAGAGGUUGUUUCCAUGCUUUGAACCCAUAAUGCCCUAUUUGAGAUGAAGAAACCUUAUUGUUAAACCCUGUCCCACCCUCUGGUACUGUUGAUAGCAUAAAGCAAAAAAAUUUAAGCAAGAAAUUUUUAAGGAAGAGAAUGUCAAUAUGUGCUGACUUAAAUAGUUCUGUCAAGAGAAGUGAAGGGUAUCAGAGGAUAUAAGGUGGACAAUGGACAGAAGAAAUGAAUGUGAUCAGAGAAUAAAUACUUAGGCCCAUUGUUGCCCUUGAGCAAUCGCAUAUACAGAUUCAAAGACAAAAGUGAAAAACAAUGAGAUUGAGGUGAAAUUCAAAAGCGGAAAAAACAUGUCAUAUAUAGCUUGUUCCUUCUUAAGAAGACAUAAAAGAAUAUGUAUUUGAUGGUAGAGUUAUACAAAAGAUAGCCAUACCAAAGCCCAAGUAUGCACCUGGGGACAAGAAGAAAAGGGGUGAUGCUAUAAGAUUCAAAAAAAUAAAACAAUAUAAAGUGGUGAAUGACAAAUACAAAAACAUGGUACUAAGCAUCAAAGAUUGGAUCAUUGCAGCUUUCUUAUUUGCCAUAUAUUAUGACCCUUCACAUAAUUCUGUAAGGGUGUAUAUGAAGUUUACAAUUUUACAAAAAAACUACUUUAAGAAUGAGGUGCAAGAGUGAAAAAGGAACCAAAUCCCAAAAGUAGCAUGGAUUGAAGAUGCAGUUGACACAGUUUGACUUAUGUUAGUCGCACAUCAAGAACCAACCUGCUGCUGACUAGUUCCCAAUUCUUGGAACUCUAACCAAAAUCAAUUCGAAAACACAUUAUCUCUCACAUGUCCAAAAAUAAAAUAUUUUAUAAUACAAACAGAAUGCUAUAAGCUGAGACCAGCAAGGUGGCACCAUAGACGUUAAAGCUUACCUCUUCGCGUUGAGGGACCCAGUUGUUGGCACGGAGGUCAAGGAGAUCAUGGACCAUAAACCUAAAUUGUGGCACAAGCUGGGGGUUCGUCGUCAGCUCCUUCAACCGGUUGAAAUAAACAUCAUUAAAAUGACGAGAUUUGGGGCUUUCAUCCAACUGCUUGCCAAUGGUGAUAAAGACCUGACAGAUUGCCUCGACAUUUUCCUCAGCAUGGCAAGGUUUGCCAUCAUGCCCCAAUAACUCCUGUUAACAGUAACUGCAUCAGGCGAUUAUUUAAAAAUGUGGACCACUCAAAAAAAGCAAAAGAAUCAGCGUUAAGAUGAAUAGUGUGAUCUGCAUACUUGGAUGAUGUGAUGCACUAUUUUCUCUGGAAUCAUCUUCUGCUUUAAUAGCUCACCAAUAAGACGGAUGUUACCAAGAGUGCGGAGCUUCAUCAUUCUUUCUUUAUCUCUACGUUCCAUUUCUUGGUCUGGGCCUGUCAACUUUCUAAUCUCAGCCCUCAGAUUGUCAGCACCUUCAAAUGUCUCCUGACAAUUAUUCAAGAGUAUACGCCUGAAAGUGAUUACUUUCCCACCCAGUUCUUCAGGAGGGAAUGGAGGGAGACUCUCAUUUAGAUCAGAACACAAUUGCGCAUACAUGGGACAGAAGGUAGGCUCAAAAACAGCUUUUUCAAAUAUAAGUUUAAUGACAUCCUGCAUCAUUAGUCUGUUUUAACAACUAAAAUUUUGGGAGGGUCAGCAACUGUGCAUAAAUUCUGGGAAGCAUGAAAACUAAAAAGCAACUGAGCAUAAAUUUUGGGAAGCAUGAAAACCU